rnacentral:lncRNA from 1 species
CUGUCUCUAGAUAAUGAAUUGAUUGUUAGCCUCCAAAGAUGAUCAAUUUGUUUUUGUUUUUGUUUUUGUUUCAGAUUACGGUGAACUCAUGGACUUAAACUUCUUUAUGGGUUUUGAGCCACUGCAAUUAUCCUCACCAAAUCUCAAGCUGUCCCACCUCUGGCACGUGGGGCCUCUUCAAGUUUUCCUCAUUCAUAUUUGUUUGUCUGUUUGUUGUUUUUGGGUGGCCAGCAGGAGAGCAUCCACAGUCUGUCUCUCCAGCCAAGGAGGAAGGUGACAAGACCUCCAUCAAGGUGAGAUCCAGGUCGGCAGCCUCUGGUUCCCCUGCCGUUAGGCUGGAAAGUGAACCCUCUGAGCCGGCCCCUGGGGUGGGGGCACCAACUCCAGAAUACACUUUAAGCCUGUCCCCGCAAAUCAAGGUCUCAGGUUCCGUGUUAUGCUGUCCGUCUGAGGUCUUCAAUUAAGUCUCGACCCCAGUGGGUAAGAAAACUAAAAGGUAUUGUCAGGGUAGAGAUGAAACCGCCGUUGCAAAAUUAUGAGCCAGUGAAAGAGAUGAACCAACUCCACUUGCUUCUAAGCUCCAAGCUGUCCUUGUGCAUUCCUGGGUGUAGGCUGAACUCCCCUGCAUAAAAGCCUCGGCGAUCCCCGUGGCCACAUUGGAAGUUCUCCUGUGGCUUCCACACUAAGAACUACAUCUAGGGUUUACAUCUUUUUUACUGGCCAACCUCCUUUUGCCUUUCAGGAGUGUGACUGAGCAACCUCUUUGGUUGUAACCAGAGACGCUGGUUUCAGAAC